UUGAAAAUAUAAGUUCAUUCUUGACCUGUGCUUGGUGGUGUGAACAGCGCUUGGCUCCGCGUUCUACGAAUACGAGGUCUUUCCUAAGUACUAACGUACCUAACCUACCCCAAAUUGUUUUUGUCUGGUUUCUCCUCUGUGGCGUUCCUAUUACCAUUUGUUUACAAUCUGUGUUUGUGUUUCCUAUUUGUAUAUAACACCUUAACCUCAAAUUUUUAAAAGUCAGGAAAAAAUGCUACCAUCUCACGCAAAUGUCAGCGGCCCUGAUAUGGUUUAGAACCAGAUUACAUCACGGUCGCCAACAAAUAGUGCUGGCGAAUCGCCUCAUAGCGAAGCCAUAAAAAAAAGAGAAGAAGAAGAAGAAAA
rnacentral:lncRNA from 1 species